rnacentral:misc_RNA from 1 species
AAAAAAAUGGAAAUAGUUGUUCCCAACUGAUUACACAAAUGAAUAUGAAUCAUAGACUGAUCUUUAGAACACAAUUCCUUGAAUAUAAUAAAUUGAUCGACUUAAAUCAGGUUCCAAAAUCAAUUGAAUAUCCUCUAAUCUAAUCUGUUCAUUCUAUAUAACAACUGAUCAACUACCAAAGGAACUGAUUAAAUCGUAAAACUCUAAAUUGAAAUGGUAAUUACAUGGAAACGACAAUUAUGAACUUCUGAGCAAAUUUAAUUAUCUAACACAGGAAAAAUGUUACAGACCGGUAUGGAAUUGGCCAUCAGCGU